AUACGGAGGUGGCGAGCGUUGCCCGGAAUCAUUGGGUUUAAAGGGUCCGCAGGCGGUCAAUUAAGUCAGAGGUGAAAGCCCAUCGCUCAACGAUGGAACUGCCUUUGAUACUGGUUGACUUGAGUUAUACGGAAGUAGAUAGAAUAAGUAGUGUAGCGGUGAAAUGCAUAGAUAUUACUUAGAAUACCGAUUGCGAAGGCAGUCUACUACGUAUAUACUGACGCUGAGGGACGAAAGCGUGGGGAGCGAACAGGAUUAGAAACCCCAGUAGUCC
rnacentral:rRNA from 1 species